rnacentral:lncRNA from 10 species
GCGGGGGUGGGAGCUGCGGACGGCCAUGUGCGCGGCGGAGAGGCCGGGUGGCCACCGAACCUUCCCGCCUGUUCUGCGGUGGGUAGGAGUUUGGAAACUAAUGUUCCUGUGCUAACCUUCGUGUCUCUGUGACAUGACUGUUGAAAGACGGAGAGUGCGGAAUCUUUGGAGUUUUAAGCUUGCCAACUGUGCGGCCUAGCAGAAUCCUGGGAGACGGAAGGACAGCCAAGAGGCUAGGAUUUACCUUUAAGUGUCCCUAGAUUCAACUAGGCAGACUGGGACGGGAGACGCUGUGAAGGUACCAGGGAAGGAACGAGUGAGGUUCCUUUUCCACUUUUUCAUAAACUCAACAGUCAGGUUCAUGACGAAGAUAUAGAUAUUUCUGUAGAUUUUUUCCCCAACAUUCUAAUUAUGCCUCAUGUUUCGUAGAUCCUAGUAACUGCUUGGAUUACUGCCACCUCAGAGGUAGAGAUCUGUUUUUCCGUGGCUGGAAUGCCAAAAAUUUUGUUGUAUUUUAUUAAGAAAGUAGCAAAAGUUUGGAGAUUUGCAAAGUUAAAAAAAAAAAAAGCAUUAUGAACUUAAUCUAGAUGUGAUUUGCUAAGGAACUUAAUAUAUUGAUAUGUUUUUCACAGGGGCGUCUGGGCAUGGCUUUCCCAACCUAGUAACUGCAACUUUUAGCAUCCUACAUGUAGGACUUGGGAAUAUGUGAGACAGCGCCAAGAAUUUAAUCCAGGAGAAUUGACAAGCUUAAAUGAAAUCCAUAUUGCCCACUGAUUUUGUGCAGCUUCAGAUAAGUAAUCUUUCUCCACUUAGCCUUUUGUAACAAUUGAUGUAAUAAAGGUUUGUAGUCUUUGUGUAAUUUAUUAAAGCAUUGUGCCUAAAAUAGAAAAAAAGCAUAGGAACCAUA